UACGGAGGAUGCGAGCGUUAUCCGGAUUUAUUGGGUUUAAAGGGUGCGUAGGCGGACUGUCAAGUCAGCGGUAAAAUACGGGGGCUCAACCUCCGCCCGCCGUUGAAACUGACGGUCUUGAGUGGGCGAGAAGUAUGCGGAAUGCGUGGUGUAGCGGUGAAAUGCAUAGAUAUCACGCAGAACUCCGAUUGCGAAGGCAGCAUACCGGCGCCCAACUGACGCUGAAGCACGAAAGCGUGGGUAUCGAA
rnacentral:rRNA from 1 species